UACAGAGGUCCAAGCGUUGUUCGGAUUCACUGGGCGUAAAGGGUGCGUAGGUGGUGAGGUAAGUCGGAUGUGAAAGCUCGGAGCUCAACUCCGAAAUGGCAUUGGAAACUACCUUGCUCGAGGGUUGGAGGGGGGACUGGAAUACUUGGUGUAGCAGUGAAAUGCGUAGAUAUCAAGUGGAACACCAGUGGCGAAGGCGAGUCCCUGGACAACUCCUGACACUGAGGCACGAAAGCUAGGGGAGCAAACAGG
rnacentral:rRNA from 1 species